rnacentral:lncRNA from 1 species
UCAGAACAUCGAUGUCAGAAUGAAAGUGGCAACGAUUUCUCUUUAUUUUUCAGUCAAUUGAUAAAAGAAAGCACGGACGCUUUCGACGGAAACGGCUACCCGAACGCUGGUGUCUCCUGCUGUCUUAAAUUUCAGCCGCAUAUACAUGCGGCCACGUCAAGAACUGCGCGGGUUUCAAAAUGUUCGAAGCUGCCGAUUCAGUCAGCUUUGUCAGAAGUGCGCGGAUCGACGCUUUUGAAGUACGCACUGCUGAAUAAAUGUUCUGGGAGCAAGAAAUAUGAACACCGACAUUAUGUCCAACACCUUGUUUCAUGGCACUUCGAGUCUUUCGAGGUGCUUUGCAGUAUGCAGUCUUCUCUGGAGUUCCGGUCACGUCCUACUCAGGAUUCCAACAUUGACAAAGAGUGGAUGCCAUUCAUACGGUAUACAAAAGCGGGUGCAGUUCUGGAGCUUUUAGUUCUAUAUAGGCUUCGGGGCUUGACAAGGUUGCUCUCGCAUUCGGGACGUGAAGGCGGUGUGUUCGCUGACCUCUUGCACACGGUGUGCUUCAGAGGCCUUGUUGCCAUUCCUCGUGGCAUGCACUCUCGCAGCAACUACACGUGAUGCACAGUUUUCGGGCGCCGUGUCAGUGCCUUCCCAUGGUGGCUGCGAAGCUAGAAGGAAAGCCGCCCCACGUACGCGUGCAUCUUUCUUGUCAACGGCCUUGGCCUGUAGAGACAAAA